CCAUUCUUUGAGGCGGGCCUUAUUGAAAGUAAUCCUAAUAUGUAUAUGGUAAAAAUUUCCACACCCGAAUUAGAAAAAGAAAAGAGAGGCCCUGUUCAACUACUUUUCUUUUCUCUUUCGUUUUGUUGCUAUUCUGCUACUAAAUUUCCUUUUUCUACAAACUUCAAAACGGAGCUCAAAACCCUAGCUCAACCCUCGCUCCGUUAAAUUCCUAAAUCUUCCUACUGGAAACGAUCAGAACCCAGAUUCCAGAUUUUUUUUUAUGGCGGGUGGAGGAGCAGAUGCUGUUGAAACUGCAGCCUUGUGCUGUGCUAAAUGUGGCAAACCAGCUCAUCUUCAGUGCCCCAAAUGUGUAGAGCUGAAGCUUCCCCGUGAAGGUGCUGCUUUCUGCACACAGGACUGUUUCAAGGCAUCCUGGGGUUCUCAUAAAUCAAUUCACUUGAAAGCGAAAUUAUUGGAACUUUCACCUGGCAAUGAGCAAGAUGCUACCUCUCCUGCAAGCAGUUGGCUUUAUUGCUUGAAGAAAGGACAGGCUCGUACACUGAAAAUGCCAAACUUUGAUUGGACAGGGACACUAAGGCCGUAUCCUAUAUCAAAAAAGCGUGAAGUUCCUGCUCACGUUGAACAACCUGAUUGGGCAAGUGAUGGAAUCCCAAAGGUUGAGCCAAAUAGUGACCUGCAGCACACUGUUGAGAUCAAGACUCCCGACCAAAUUGAGAGAAUGCGAGAAACUUGUCGAAUUGCAAGAGAAGUUUUGGAUGCAGCUGCCCGUGUUAUUCGACCUGGCAUAACUACUGAUGAAAUUGAUGCGGUGGUUCAUGAAGCUACUGUUUCUGCAGGUGGAUACCCAUCGCCUCUGAACUAUCAUUUCUUCCCAAAAUCUUGCUGCACGUCAGUUAAUGAGGUAAUCUGCCAUGGAAUUCCGGAUGCAAGGAAAUUAGAGGAUGGCGACAUUGUAAAUGUAGAUGUAACUGUGUACUAUAAAGGGGUCCAUGGUGAUCUCAAUGAAACAUUCUUUGUGGGCAACGUUGAUGAAGCAUCUCAGCGGCUCGUGCAAUGUACAUACGAGUGUUUGGAGAAGGCAAUAUCUAUUGUCAAGCCUGGGGUACGAUUUCGUGAAGUUGGAGAGGUCAUCAAUCGACACGCUUUGAUGUCAGGCUUCUCUGUGGUCAAAUCUUAUUGUGGUCAUGGUAUUGGAGAGCUAUUCCAUUGUGCACCAAAUAUUCCGCAUUAUGCUAGAAAUAAAGCAGUUGGUAUAAUGAAGGCUGGCCAGACCUUUACUAUAGAACCAAUGAUCAAUGCAGGUGUUUGGCGUGACCGGAUGUGGCCUGAUGGAUGGACAGCUGUUACUGCAGAUGGAAAACGCAGUGCUCAGUUUGAACACACUCUUUUGUGAUGCAAUGAGUUCGUACACCACAUGAGAAUUUAGACUCCUUCAAGAGGGACAAUAUCUCAUGCAUGUGACGGAGACGGGGGUUGAAGUUCUCACAGCACGCUUGCCAACAUCCCCCAACGUGUUCCCCUGGAUACACUCAUAACCGAUAUCAUCCAGCCAGAUCAAUCUCAACCUAUUUUUGUGCUUUAGAGCUUUGACAAGAAGCCAGUGGUACCCGCUUCGCAUUCUCGGGGGAAUAUCAUACCUUUUUGCUGGAUUUUUUUACACUACUUUAUCAAAUUGACUUGCAUUUGUAAUCUAUUGGAUUGAAAAUUUUGAUAAGAAGGUUUGUAGUUCGAAAUGUGUCUGGCUGUAGAAAGCACCUACAAGCCACUCAAAGAUCUAAGUUCUCUUUUUCUUAAGAAUCUGCUAUAGCGUCCGCUUUUAAUAUUGGUUUGCUUAGGAGUUAAAUGACUGUGUGCUAAUAAUACAGUCUAUGUAGAUUUAUAAUGUGAUUUAGAAAGCUCAAAGAUGCUGAUUCAAUAAUUACGUUGUUAUAAUGCACUCUCAUUACUCC